CGCGAGUCGGUGAUCUACUGGAGCCCCGGGGGUGCGUGUCACCAGGGUGCCCAACAGCCACCGCGACGUCCCGCGUGGCCCGAGGAUUCCCGUGGACGCAGGCUCUCAUCCGGAGACCUCCGCGUCCUCGAUGUGCCCGCGGACACAGUAUGCCCCGGGCAGGGCCAGUCAGGCUGGGAUACUACGUGCCCCGGACUUAGUUGGAGCAGGAUGGCAGGGAAGCCAGCAGGCAGGUGGGAAGCCAUGGCUCCCAGCCCCGACAGAGCCACCUCAGGACAGGAGAGCUGCUGCAGGCUCAGUCACUUCAGUCACCUGGACUCUCACAGUGUCCCGGCAACUGACCACCAUCUUGGGAAUGUUAGUGAAAACUUGGCAUUCGUGGCACAGAGUGAAAAUGUCCAGUGAAGAGUACAGACCGCAACCAGGACGUGUCCCGGCCAUGAUCUGGGUGGAGGAGCAUUGUAGGGUGCCAGGAGCUGAAGUGUUGGCCUCCACUGCGACAGAUUUCAAGAUUCACUUGCUCUGUGGCCUUUAAAAUAUAUUCUAAUUCUCAUUCUCUACAGUGUUUGUCUAUGAACAUUUGUAGAUAUUUAUGUUUUUUUAAAUGGUGCACUGCAAUAUACAUAUGGAAAAGAACAU
ensembl:lncRNA